rnacentral:rRNA from 1 species
AUGGGGGCUUCGGCACUCACAUCGGCGCCCGGUGAAGAAGCUUCUACGAGGCCCAGCCCCAGCGGUUUCGCCUCCUACGCCGACAAGCUCCGAGGCGACCUGGACAAGAUCGCGGCGGACGCGACCGACAAGGACGUCCUGGAUGCCCUCGCGGAGCUCAGCAAGGCCGUCGGCAAGAUGGCAACAACGGCGGCCGCGGCCGGCGAGCACGUCUUGUACAACUUGGACUCUGUAGCCACGGGCGACCUCGCCCUCGAGAUCGACGAGGCCAUCGAGUUGAUAGCAGAGGCGGCCGCGGCAGGCGAGGCAGACUGGGUGAUGGGCACCACGCGGUUGCUCAUGGCGAGCGCCGAGGAAAUCACCCGCCACCUCACGGAGGCCAUCGAGGAAGACAAAGCAGCGGCGGGCGGAGCCAGCGGGGUUGAACUUGAAGAACAGGCCGUGGACGGCGAUGCUUCCUUGGACGAUCGGGUUCAGCAAGAGAUGUACGAGGAGCAGGAGGAGGCCUUCUUGGACGAACUCGACUACCUCGACAUGGUCUUGGAUGUUGACGAGGCCUUGGAUGAUUUGCGCCUGGAAGCGGCCGGGUGCAGCGGUGGCCGUCCGCCAACGACAGGGUUUCUUGGACGAUAUGAUUUUUUCACACUGCAAGAUUUCUUGAAGUUGGUUGAUUGA